rnacentral:rRNA from 1 species
CCUACGGGAGGCAGCAGUAGGGAAUCUUUCACAAUGGGCGAAAGCCUGAUGGAGCAACGCCGCGUGCAGGAUGGAGGCCUUCGGGUUGUAAACUGCUUUUAUAAGCGAGAAAUAUGAUGGUAACUUAUGAAUAAGGAUCGGCUAACUACGUGCCAGCAGCCGCGGUCAUACUUAGGAUCCGAGCAUUAUCCGGGGUGACUGGGUGUAAAGAGUUGCGUAGGUGGUAUUAUAAGUAGCUAGUGAAAGCUGGUGGCUCAACCAUUCAGACGAUUAGCUAAACUGUUAAGCUCGAGACCGUUAGGGGAAACGGGAAUUUCGAGGGUAGGAGGGAAAGCGGUAGAGAUUAGAAGGAACACC